rnacentral:rRNA from 1 species
AGCGAACGCUGGCGGCAGGCUUAACACAUGCAAGUCGAGCGGGCACUUUCGGGUGUCCGCGGCGGACGGGUGAGUAACGCGUGGGAACGUGCCCUCUGGUUCGGAAUAACUCAGGGAAACUUGAGCUAAUACCGGAUACGCCCUUUUGGGGAAAGGCUUGCUGCCGGAGGAUCGGCCCGCGUCUGAUUAGCUAGUUGGUGAGGUAACGGCUCACCAAGGCGACGAUCAGUAGCUGGUCUGAGAGGAUGAUCAGCCACACUGGGACUGAGACACGGCCCAGACUCCUACGGGAGGCAGCAGUGGGGAAUAUUGGACAAUGGGCGCAAGCCUGAUCCAGCCAUGCCGCGUGAGUGAUGAAGGCCUUAGGGUUGUAAAUCUCUUUUAUCCGGGACGAUAAUGACGGUACCGGAGGAAUAAGCCCCGGCUAACUUCGUG